GUGCUUGCUUUGGCAGCACAUUUACUAAAAUUGGAACUACACAGAGAAAAGAUUAGCAUGGCCCCUGAGCAAAAAUGACUUGCGGAUCUUUUAAGUGUUUUGUAAUUUU
rnacentral:snRNA from 1 species